AAGAAGAACCAGAGUUGACCCAAACUUGGGCCUCAUCAUGGAGCAGGGUUGGGCCUGUCAGGAUGGUUCCUCAAAAAAUUAAAAAUAGAAGUACCAUAUGAUCUAGCAAUCCCACUACCGGGUAUAUAUCCAAAGGAAGUGAAAUCAGUAUGUCAAAGAGAUUCUGCCCUCCCAUGUUUAUUGCAGCACUAGUCACAAAAGCCAAGACAUGGAAUCAACCUAGUGUCCAUUGACAGGUGAAUAAAUAAAGAUUUGUGAUAUAUAUACACAAUGGAAUACUAUUCAGCCUUUAAAAAGGAAGAAAAUCCU
rnacentral:lncRNA from 1 species